AUAUGUGUUGUAUAAGUAAAUAUUGUUGCCUUACUUAUAUCUGUUGAGCCCCACUUGGACAGCCCUAUUGCCCAGUGAAGUUUAUAACAUCCUGGUACACACAUUUUAAGAGAAGGCAGUCAAAAUGUUAACCAUUUGUAUUAAACAUCUUUGAAAGACCACUCAAUGAAAAUAGACAAGAAGAGCCAUCUAUACAGACCAUAACAAGCAUCAAAUACACUUGGACAGACUCCAGCAGCACAUAAAGGACUUAAAAAGUUACAGAGAUAUUAAAAUGCC